AUUUGGUUUGUGUGUGGAUGCGGCCUUGAGGACACAAGCAAUGAGUAGUGAUAUAGAAAACACCAAAAUAACAAACAAGUGGAACUUUUUAUUUUAUUUUUUUAUUUUAAGUGACAAAGUUUCUUAACAAGGGCAAGAAACAAUGUUACUGCACCCAGAGACCGAAAAGUGUAAUCGAAGCGAGGAACCAUAUUGUCAAUACUACGCAGUGAAUAUCAAAGGGAUGAAAAGCCAGAGCCAACAUGAUGUGUGUGCUGUGCCGUAACUGCGUGGAGGAAGAUCACAGUUUUCGAGUUAUUUCCUUUGAUAAAAAAAAACUACAAUAAGGGCCUCGCUAAAUACAGGAAGACAUUUGGCUCUGUCUGCGAGUACCGUCUGCUGCUUGGGUUGCAUCUAGAGCGCACAGUUGUUAGCUGAGGGAUCAAAUGACGAUAUUUAAGACUGGGGUGGUCAAGCCUGGACAGCCUGAAAACCCAUUUAGACCAAUAUGAGCCGAAUUCAAAAGAUGAUCCUACCAAUCUGGAUAUUCCUCUCUUAAUGAUGACGAUGACACUAUAUGUACUGCUAUUAGCUUAAAAGAAAACGAUUCCGAUAGCAGCUCUGAAAUAGAUGACGAAAGUUAAGAAGGUCCAAUCGUUUGGCAGGAUGAAGAUAAAUUAAUUUUACAUCAAGAGCAAGCCUGCCUGAAAUUAAGUCAUGCUCAGUCAGUCCUAUAAAUUUUGCCUGAGAAUGGAUCAGGCUUGAACUAGAAAGAACAAAGUGUGUCACAGCAUCAUUGGAAAGAUGAGCAUUUGGCCAAAAGCAGAUGCCUCCUAUCCAGUUUAAUUGCAAAAUCUGCAAAGAUCUUUGCGACGGCGCCUGAAAAAGUGCAUCAAGACAAACCCUGUAUGCAAAUACAGCUUGAAGAGCUUGUUUGGAACCAUGAAGAACUACUAGAUAUUCACUGCAACUAUUAUUACCACUUUGAUGAAUUACAGGUUGCUAAAAUGAAAUUGACCUGUAAUAUCUUCACUUGGCUUCAAGCCAUGCGAAUUAAUAUAAGAUUUGGUAUAUGCUCAAAAAGUGCAAAUUAAAGUUUCCUACAAUAUUCAAGUUUAAUGCGCUCACAUGCGCUUGAUAAUUAUAUAUUCUUGAUCUCAAAUUGAGUAUGUACUGCACAGAAGUGAAUCGCAGCAUGUUCCUUUAUAUAAGCUUAGCUUUGUAAGGCAAAUAAUGACAUUCGCAAUGCUAAGAAAUAUCGAGAUUUGCAAUUUUAAGUGUAAAUUUAAACUCGGGAAUAAAAAUGAAUUAAAAGACGAAAUUUUAUCCAGGAUACUUGAAUAUCAUUUAUUUCAUUCAGCAGUUUGAAAUAGAAGUACAAUUUUUUGUAAAGCCCAGCAAUUUUUUACAGGUGUCACCGAAAUCGUCGGCCAAUGAUUUAAAUCUGUGUGUUGGUCCAAAUCAUUUAAUGUGUGGGUCUGCAAAUUCCAGAUCUACGAUCAAAAACAUGCCCAAUUUUGCAAGCAGACCUGAAUCGUCCGUCAGCCAUCUUUCCUCCAUAUCUUUUGAUCUGCCGCAUCCAUGACGGUGUGGUCUCUUUGGGCUGAUUGUGAGCACUUCCAGCACAUAUGACGAUUAUCACAAUCAGCAGUACCAAAAGAAAUGGCUUCACGUUCAUGUUUGUUUAGUCACGUCUCAAUAUGUGUUUCAUUAGUUACGAACUGUAAGUUUAAAUUUGCGUGGAUGUGGCUUUGUAAAUGGUUUCAUUUAACUCAGGAUGUUUGGUUAAUUUAAUCGGUACUCACUUCCUCUAAAUGUUUCUCCUUUCUCCUUUAUGUGUUCCCCACACGAGAAUUGUAAAUUUUGAAUUUUUAACAAGAGUCGCCUUAGAAACAAUUUAAAAUUUUCAGUUUUGGAACAAAAUUCAUGCUUUUACAGUCCACAAACUAAAUAAAUUUAACAGUGACCAAGUAGAAAAUGAAUAAAUUUCAGUACAUUUUAAGUCCAUUUUAUUUAAAAGUAACAAAUAACAGUCCAAGAUUCUAAACCAUUAUAUUGGCUUAAGAACGUUCAAUAAUAUUUAAAAUUACGCUAGUAUUUUGAGUCUUCAAUGAUCAGGUUGAAUGAUGUUUUAUUCCACCUGUUCUUCACAGUCCUAAUUACCAACGAGUUGAGGUCAAUUGCCUCCUUCCGCAAGUUUUGCUCUGUAAUUAAAAGGUUUGAUAAAUACUUUAUUCUUUUGCCUCAAAGAGAAUGUUCUCUGAGGAUGUUCUAAUGAUGAAAUAGUAUGUAUUGAAAAUUUUAAAAAUAAAAUUAUAUACAGUACCAUCCGUAUUUUUAAAACAAUUUGUCUCGUGCUUAACUGGUCACUGAAAUUUUUAAAAUUUAAAACACAUACUGUGCUAUAAGAACAAAAUAGCUGAAAGGUUCAAUAGUAAAUUAUUUACAAACAAAUUAUUGUGAGUUACCCAAAUUGGGAAGCUGGCAUGUUCCUGCGAUCUCCACCAACGGCUUGCGGCAAAUGAUCCUUACGUCUGGGCGCUGUGCCGCUCUCCUCAGUCCUUUCUCUACCCUCACUGGAGCCACCCCUGCAGCAUCCCCCUCCUUUACGAAGGGCUGCUGUCUGCAGUUGAGGAAAAGGCAGGCUGAGUUGAGGAGAGCGGCCGCGGCGAGCACCAGGCCCACCAGCAGCAGGCACACCUGCGCUUGAGUUGCCUGGCCCAUCUGUGCGGGCAGACUGGCGCUGAACCCUGAAGCGGCAGACUGCUCUUCAUCUUCGGCAGAACUGGUUUAAUGACCUUCACUUGGCUGCCGGAACUAGAUAAUUAUACGCUUAUCCCCAAUCCUUUCCUUAACACAAACAUAGAGAUGAAAUUUACACAAUAUAUUUUUCCAAAUGUAAAACUGUAUAUUUAGGAAUUUUAGUAGGAACAAAUGCAAAAAUGUUCGAGAAAAUGAUGGAUUUCGUUUCAUUAUAUUUAACAAUUUAUUUUGAUAAAAUCGCAUACAAGAUUCAAUUAUUAAAAUAGCUGGCAUACCUCACAGUUAGUUUAAUUUAUGCGAAUCCUUAAUUUAAUGAAUGAAUGAAUUAUCCUCACUCAUAAAUUUAAUAAAGUUUCUUAUUUUUCCUACACAAUUAAUUUUCUAAUUAUGAAAAGGUAAAGGGAAGAAAUAGCAAAACUCCCUAUUUGUGUCUAGAUUUAUUAAGCAUCAUAUUUUUAUUUUCAAACUGGAGCAAAAAAUUGAAGUUAUCAACAAAUACCAAAACAAGAAUAAUGCAUUUUUACAAUUCUCGUUAUGGAAAAAACUAGAUAGAUAAAACCAUGAUCGUAUUUAUCUAAAUUUUCUUCUUUCUCCUAGAAAUACAAUUUUAUUCGGCCUAUAGCUCGUCACCUGAAAUCAAGUCUACAAGUGUUCAAAUGUGGGAUCAAUACCUGCCCCUCGGGACAAUCUCUGAUUGGAAUAUCACCUAUCGACUCAGGAGAAACCUCUAUUACAUCCAUUCCUAAAAUUUAAAAAUCUUGUUUAAAGUACAACACAAAUCAUGUAACUCUACGCCAUAUUGUGAACUUUUGAAUUAGAAAAUUUACGAAUGUUUUUGUUACAGUUAUCUAGACUGUCACACAGAUUUUUGUAGAUUAAUUUCAUGUCUUAUGAAAAGUAAAAUCACUGAAUUUUUGAAAUACAUGAAAAGCUUUUCAUGGAAAAAUCAGCAUAAGGUUGAAUAAUUACAUGUACCUAGUC